AACGAACGCUGGCGGCAGGCCUAACACAUGCAAGUCGAGCGAAGCCUUCGGGCUUAGCGGCGGACGGGUGAGUAACGCGUGGGAACGUGCCCUUUGGUACGGAAUAGCCCCGGGAAACUGGGAGUAAUACCGUAUGUGGUCGAGAGACGAAAGAUUUAUCGCCAAAGGAUCGGCCCGCGUUGGAUUAGGUAGUUGGUGGGGUAAUGGCCUACCAAGCCGACGAUCCAUAACUGGUUUGAGAGGAUGAUCAGCCACACUUGGGCUGAGACACGGCCCAGACUCCUACGGGAGGCAGCAGUGGGGAAUCUUAGACAAUGGGGGAAACCCUGAUCUAGCCAUGCCGCGUGAUCGAUGAAGGCCUUAGGGUUGUAAAGAUCUUUCAGUGGGGAAGAUAAUGACUGUACCCACAGAAGAAGCCCCGGCUAACUCCGUGCCAGCAGCCGCGGUAAGAC
rnacentral:rRNA from 1 species